AUCCAAACUAGUAUACUCAUGCAGCCAAACUGGUCUCUUGAUCACCCUCCCGCUCCCAGUUUUCCCUAGUCCGCUCUGUCAAAUCUGAUCUGAGGACUGGGAAGAGAGGAUGUAUAACCACACAGACUGCAUUUGAGGCAGGGGAGAAGUGGAAGAGGAUUCCCAAAGGAACAUUUUACAAGAAACUGACUUGGCACCAAGAGUCUCCUUCCUCUGUCCAGUGUUUGGUGCCAACAUCCCAGCAGGUCGACAUCCUGAUGAAUGCUGCCAUGCCUUUGGGGACUAUCCCGCUUGGAGUUUAAUUUAGCAACAGUAUUUCACCUGGCAUGCUCACAAAGGUAUUGUGACUGUGGUGACCUCCUGUUGCCACUGGUCCCUAGUUUUGUCCUGGAGGUGGCUCGUGCUGGCUGUUCAAUACAGUCAUUAUUAAAAAUGGAAAUAUAUCAACUUGAAGUUCAAUAAAUCAUAUCAAAAACAAAGGCAAUAAAUACUCAGAACUCAUCACUUCCUAAUUUCAUUUUCCACCCUUGACCAUGAUCUAUGUUAUUGAAGUUACCUUGUUUCUUGUAUGAAUAUGGUAGGAAUACUGUGUCAUGCUGGGCGGUUCACAUCUUUUCCUAACUCUGCCUUCAGUGACGUGACGAUGAUGGUUUGAAAUUGACCAUUAUGGGAACAGGUAUUGACUGGGGUUCUUUCCUCCUAGAUAAUGUGGGGCCAGAGAGGAAUAAAAGUCCCCAUCCCUUCACAGUUUCCAAUCUCAUUGAAGUAUCACAAACAUGAAAUAAAAUAUUAUGUAUGAAGGAGAACUAGAACGGAACUCAUCUAGGAGGCAGGAGAGCUAGAAUCUGUUCUCAGCUCUGAAACAAGUGGUGGGACUGUGGGCAAGUCUCUUGGUCUCUCAGUCACAGCAUUCUUCAUCUGGAAAAUACCACUGGACUCCAAGCUCUACCAGGGGAGGAGCUGCGUCUACCCCAUUUGCUGCCACAUCCCAGCCCUCCAGCAUAAUUCCAGACAUGUAAGAGGCAACGAAGCAAUGCUUGUCAAGUGAAUGAAUGAGUGGGAAAGCACCAUCUCCACCAACCCUUCCAGCUCUGAGAAUGCAGAGGUUCGUGAUCCAAACUAAGGUUAACAGAAGUAGCACAAGACUGAGAGCCAGGGAUGGACAACACGGGCCAGUUUCCUCAGAUGCCUACAAGGAAGGGGCCAUGCUGGACUCUGGGCAAAGGUGGGCAAGCCAAGAAGUUGGGCAAGCCAGGAAGUCUGACUCGAGAUCACAGUGAUCAUUCCUCGAAGCCCUGGUGACAAUCGUGAGUCGACAUUCCUUUUUGUUCUUCUCUGCCGUCUGGUACCUGACUUCAUGCUUUGGUUCAAUACUGCCUUGAAUCCCAACUGAAGAGUUUGUUAAAAUCCCAGAAAAAAAAAAAA
rnacentral:lncRNA from 1 species